AUUGAACGCUGGCGGCAUGCCUUACACAUGCAAGUCGAACGGUAACAGGUCUUCGGACGCUGACGAGUGGCGAACGGGUGAGUAAUACAUCGGAACGUGCCCAGGCGUGGGGGAUAACUACUCGAAAGAGUAGCUAAUACCGCAUACGAUCUGAGGAUGAAAGCGGGGGACCUUCGGGCCUCGCGCGAUUGGAGCGGCCGAUGGCAGAUUAGGUAGUUGGCGGGAUAAAAGCUUACCAAGCCGACGAUCUGUAGCUGGUCUGAGAGGACGACCAGCCACACUGGGAGUGUGACACGGCCCAGACUCCUACGGGAGGCAGCAGUAGAAAAUCUUGUAAAAUUAUCGAAAGCCUGAUUCAGCAAUGCCGCGUGCAGGAUGAAGGCCUUCGGGUUGUAAACUGCUUUUGUACGGUACGAAAACGCUCCUUCUAAUACAGGGCGCCCAUGACGGUACCGUAAGAGUAAGCACCGGCUAACUACGUGCCAGCAGCCGCCGUAA
rnacentral:rRNA from 1 species